GGGGGCGUGGUGAAACUGGCAAACACCGAGGAUUUAAAAUCCUCUGUCCGCGAGGACUUGCAGGUUCGAAUCCUGCCGCCCCUA
rnacentral:tRNA from 1 species